rfam:Erinaceus europaeus unplaced genomic scaffold scaffold00788, whole genome shotgun sequence
AUGUGAGGGCGAUCUGGCUGCAACAUCUGUCACCCCACUGAUUGCCAGGGUUGAUUCUGCUGAUAUGGCUGGCUAGGCAGAUGUCCCUUUCUUCACCAUUCCAUGUGCGUCCCUCCUGAAACGAAGAGGAUGGCCUUCCCCAAAUAGAGACCGGUCUUCGAUCAAGGGUAUACAAGUAGCUACACUCCCCUGCUAGAGCUUCCAUACAAGCUCUCACGUCUGUCAGGACAGUGGGGGAGCAGCCUUGAGAAGAACUAAGGGGGUUUCUGUCUGCUGGC